rnacentral:rRNA from 1 species
AUUGAACGCUGGCGGCAUGCCUUACACAUGCAAGUCGAACGGUAACAGGUCUUCGGAUGCUGACGAGUGGCGAACGGGUGAGUAAUACAUCGGAACGUGCCUAGUAGUGGGGGAUAACUACUCGAAAGAGUGGCUAAUACCGCAUGAGAUCUACGGAUGAAAGCAGGGGAUCGCAAGACCUUGUGCUACUAGAGCGGCCGAUGGCAGAUUAGGUAGUUGGUGGGAUAAAAGCUUACCAAGCCGACGAUCUGUAGCUGGUCUGAGAGGACGAUCAGCCACACUGGGACUGAGACACGGCCCAGACUCCUACGGGAGGCAGCAGUGGGGAGUUUUGGACAAUGGGCGCAAGCCUGAUCCAGCAAUGCCGCGUGCAGGAUGAAGGCCUUCGGGUUGUAAACUGCUUUUGUACGGAACGAAAAGCCCUGGGUUAAUACCCUGGGGUCAUGACGGUACCGUAAGAAUAAGCACCGGCUAACUACGUGCCAGCCGCCGCAGGAA